rnacentral:rRNA from 1 species
AACGAACGCUGGCGGCAGGCUUAACACAUGCAAGUCGAACGCCCCGCAAGGGGAGUGGCAGACGGGUGAGUAACGCGUGGGAACGUACCUUUCAGUUCGGAAUAACUCAGGGAAACUUGUGCUAAUACCGGAUACGCCCGCAAGGGGAAAGAUUUAUCGCUGAAAGAUCGGCCCGCGUUGGAUUAGCUAGUUGGUGGGGUAAAGGCCUACCAAGGCGACGAUCCAUAGCUGGUCUGAGAGGAUGAUCAGCCACACUGGGACUGAGACACGGCCCAGACUCCUACGGGAGGCAGCAGUGGGGAAUAUUGGACAAUGGGCGCAAGCCUGAUCCAGCCAUGCCGCGUGAGUGAUGAAGGCCUUAGGGUUGUAAAGCUCUUUCACCGGUGAAGAUAAUGACGGUAACCGGAGAAGAAGCCCCGGCUAACUUCGUG